GGACUUGGGGAGAAGUUUCUGGCCGCGGAGGCAACGGGGCGCGCCCAGGAGGCGGCUCCGGCCCAGAUCGUCGCAGCAGCACAGGAGGCUGUAACACAGCCACCUGAGGACCCGCUGGCGGGGGCACAGCGCCUGGUGGCACUGGGAGGACUUCUCCAGGCGCGGUUCCCCGCCGAAGGAUUCUCAGUGGCCUCCCCGAGACGUUGAAAAUCCGUGGCCAGCCCGGGACUGUCCGGAGUGACCAGUCCAUGACUGCGAGAAAUGACUCGCCAGUGGACGAGAAUUAUUCCUUCAAACGGGACUAAAGGACCUUAAGUAUCACCCAGGGAGAGCGGAUUGACCUUCCCGAAACUCGAUGAUGUCUGGUAAAACGGGGUUGUUACAACUCAAUUCAGAGACCUCUUGGGGUUUGAUGUGGCAUUUGAUGAUCCCGUUCUUCAAGCUGAGUUUUGUAAAAUGUGAGAAAACAUUACAAAGAGGAGACAAAAGACCAUGAAAUGGAAUCAUUUGGUUUGAGAGUGACGUGAAGCACACAGUUCACCCGUAAGCCCGAAGGAUGUGGGUGGAUAUUCUACCUGUAGAAAAGAGACCGGGAGUGAGGACGGGGCUCCAUUCUCUAGAUACACUCGAAGGGCAAAAGCUCCAGAAACUUCCAGAUAUUGGGAUAUUGGUGGUAGAUGGCUGCCUAACUUGAUGGUGCAGAAGGAACAAGUAUGAAGAGAGAGAUGACCAUCAGCCUUACCCACAUCCCUCCCUUGGCCAGAUUGCUCAGCCUCCCCACCUCCCCUGCAGUUAACGCCUAACCCAACUAUUUUAGCCCAUGCUGUCUUCCCUCCCUAAGGAGUCUGAACACUUUUUAGGAGACCAAGGGCUCAACUGUUGGUUCUGACUCAACUGGCAUGUGAAAUUUCCUCUAUAGUCAUGUUGACAUGUCCUUUUUGGUAGACCACUGAGUAGCACCCCAUUGGGGCUUGGGAGGGAGAACUAAUAUUUUGUUUCCAAACGUAUUCCAAGCAGAUUCUGUCUUAUGUCAAUAAAGAUGUAAGCAAACACCAGUGGGUAUGAUGACGUGGUCGAAUGGGCUGGGAGACAUCAGCUCGCAUCUCCUUGUCUUUAGCCAAACGGAAGCAGCUCCGAAUGUGACUACAGAAGUUGUUACCUUCACUUUAGCAGUUCCCUGGGAGAUGGAUCUCAGAGGUCUAGGAGACGCAAGUGGAAGUACAGAGAAGUGAAAAUGUCCCCUGAGGUGCCAGACGGAGGAGGUACAGCCAGCACGUCUUCUCCAGAUGGAGCCCCGGAGACACUGAGCAGCUACUAACACGGCUCCAGGAUGUGGGACUGGGACAUCUCCAAACCUCGUGGCCGCUAAUGCGGCCACAUGACCUUUCCUGAAAAAUGAAAAUGUACAAUCUAUUGAUGCCAUCCAACAUGUCUGACUGUUGGAGGAAAACCUCCAAGUAAUGAUAGUGAGAUUCCUGUUGAAAAUUGAAUGCAAUCAAAGUAAGGAAAGAGUAAAGUGGAAAUUGUCUGCCACACAGGCAGAGGGGGAGUGGGAGGGGGGAUAUGUGGGGGUUUUG